rnacentral:rRNA from 1 species
AACUUUCAACAACGGAUCUCUUGGUUCUGGCAUCGAUGAAGAACGCAGCGAAAUGCGAUAAGUAAUGUGAAUUGCAGAAUUCAGUGAAUCAUCGAAUCUUUGAACGCACAUUGCGCCCUUUGGUAUUCCGAAGGGCAUGCCUGUUCGAGCGUCAUUAU